rnacentral:rRNA from 1 species
UACGUAGGGAGCAAGCGUUGUUCGGAUUUACUGGGCGUAAAGGGCGCGUAGGCGGCAAUUCAAGUCAUCUGUGAAAUCUCCGGGCUUAACUCGGAACGGUCAGAUGAUACUGUUUUGCUAGAGUGCGGAAGGGGCAAUCGGAAUUCUCGGUGUAGCGGUGAAAUGCGUAGAUAUCGAGAGGAACACCUGAGGUGAAGACGGGUUGCUGGGCCGACACUGACGCUGACAGCGCGAAAGCCAGGGGAGCAAACGGG